UCCCUGGUGGUCUAGUGGCUAAGGAAUCCCGCACUCUCACUGCUGUGGCCCGGAUUCGAUUCCCGAGCAAGGAA